CUCAGUUCGGAUUGUAGUCUGCAACCCGACUACAUGAAGCUGGAAUCGCUAGUAAUCGCAGAUCAGAAUGCUGCGGUGAAUACGUUCCCGGGUCUUGUACACACCGCCCGUCACACCAUGGGAGUUGGAAAUGCCCGAAGCCAGUGACCCAACCGUAAGGAGGGAGCUGUCGAAGGUGGAGCCGAUGACUGGGGUGAAGUCGUAACAAGGUACC
rnacentral:rRNA from 1 species